UGGGGAAUAUUGCACAAUGGGGGAAACCCUGAUGCAGCGACGCCGCGUGAGCGAAGAAGUAUUUCGGUAUGUAAAGCUCUAUCAGCAGGGAAGAAAAUGACGGUACCUGACUAAGAAGCCCCGGCUAACUACGUGCCAGCAGCCGCGGUAAUACGUAGGGGGCAAGCGUUAUCCGGAAUUACUGGGUGUAAAGGGAGCGUAGACGGCAUUGCAAGUCUGAUGUGAAAGGCAGGGGCUCAACCCCUGGACUGCAUUGGAAACUGUAGUGCUAGAGUGCCGGAGAGGUAAGCGGAAUUCCUAGUGUAGCGGUGAAAUGCGUAGAUAUUAGGAGGAACACCAGUGGCGAAGGCGGCUUACUGGACGGUAACUGACGUUGAGGCUCGAAAGCGUGGGGAGCAAACAGG
rnacentral:rRNA from 2 species